rnacentral:rRNA from 1 species
UACGGAGGGUGCAAGCGUUAUCCGGAUUCACUGGGUUUAAAGGGUGCGUAGGCGGAUAGAUAAGUCAGUGGUGAAAUCUCCGAGCUUAACUCGGAACUGCCGUUGAUACUAUUUGUCUUGAAUAUUGUGGAGGUAAGCGGAAUAUGUCAUGUAGCGGUGAAAUGCUUAGAUAUGACAUAGAACACCAAUUGCGAAGGCAGCUUACUACACAAUCAUUGACGCUGAUGCACGAAAAGCGUGGGGAUCAAACAGG